GAGGAGAUUUUUCAAAAGAAAAUGUGUCUUUUGGUAUUAUCUUUUCAUGAUAUGAUUUUCAUGCAAUUCCUUGUACUCAUGAAAUAUUUAUCUCAUCACCCAAUAACUCUUCUUGAUAUUCCUUAUGUGAUGAAACAAAAUAAUGCAUGAAAUUCAAAUAAGAAGUUAAUGAUCAUGCAUGAUAGGAUGUAAUGAAUUUUGACAUUUAGAUACCAUCAUUUGAAUAGCUAUGAUCAGGUUGCCAAAAUGAUAUAUCAUGAAUGCUUGAAUAUCAUGUAUGAUAUGCCGAUAUUGAUGAUUGAGUUAUUUGUAUCAUGCAUGAAAAAUAAAAGAUAUAGUUUUGAAAUUGUGCAUGUUCGAAUUUGAAAAUAUGAUGAUGCAUAAUGAUUAAAUUGUGCAAUGAAAAUAUUAAACAUUUUGAAACCAUGUUUUAGUGUCAUGCAUAAUGAUCAUGCUUAAUAAAUUUUAAAAUUAUGCAUGAUGAAUCUUGCGAUUUAUGGAUUAUUGAUUUUUACUAUAAUGGAAGUGCCUUAUUGAUCUUUGUUGUAAUAAAUCUUACACUUUCAGUUUUAAACAUGAUACAUGUUUUUAUUUGGCAUAAAUGAAAUAAAAUCAUAUGAAUUGAAACAACUAAAAAGAGGAAAAU
rnacentral:lncRNA from 1 species